rnacentral:rRNA from 1 species
UACGUAGGUGGCAAGCGUUGUCCGGAAUUACUGGGCGUAAAGCGUGCGCAGGCGGUUUCUUAAGUCAGAUGUGAAAGCCCCGGGCUCAACCUGGGAACUGCAUCUGUGACUGCAUAGCUAGAGUACGGUAGAGGGGGAUGGAAUUCCGCGUGUAGCAGUGAAAUGCGUAGAUAUGCGGAGGAACACCGAUGGCGAAGGCAAUCCCCUGGACCUGUACUGACGCUCAUGCACGAAAGCGUGGGGAGCAAACAGG